UACGUAGGGCGCAAGCGUUGUCCGGAAUUCUUGGGCGUAAAGAGCUCGUAGGCGGUUUGUCGCGUCUGCUGUGAAAACCUAAGGCUCAACCUUGGGCUUGCAGUGGGUACGGGCAGACUAGAGUGCGGUAGGGGUGACUGGAAUUCCUGGUGUAGCGGUGGAAUGCGCAGAUAUCAGGAGGAACACCGGUGGCGAAGGCGGGUCUCUGGGCAGUAACUGACGCUGAGGAGCGAAAGCGUGGGGAGCGAACAGG
rnacentral:rRNA from 1 species